ACCUAUAGCCACCACCCUGAAAGCGCCCAAUCUCGUCUGAUCUUGGAAGCUAAGCAGGAUCGGGCCUGGUUAGUACUUGGAAGGGAGGAAGCUGUCAAAC
rnacentral:rRNA from 1 species